GCCUUGUGGUGGAGGUGCACACCUUUACUUCCAGCAACAUAGGCAGGUGGAUCCAUGAGUUACUUGCCAGCCUGGUGUACUGAGGGAAUUCCAGGAUAGUCAGGGCUACACAGAGAAACCCUGACUUGGGACCUCCAUGCUCCAAAGUGAGAAACCUCUUGUGGAGAUAAAGGCAGAGUAUCUGAGUACCUCAUCUCUGGCAGUAAAGUAGGCAAUGUAAGUUAAACUACAGUUUCUGACAGUUAGGCUUGCCCAUCCCCCAAGGUUCUGCCCAACAAUACCCUUUCUAAAAGUGGGGGGAGGGUCUAUCAGCCUCCCUUCCUUCUUGCUCUGCCACAAAACAACCACUGCCUGAUGUGGACCAGUGUACAAAAAUGUGUGUCUGGCAUAAGUUACUUUGCAUUGAUUUGACAGACACUAUGACCAAAAGCAACAAGGAGCACAAAUGAUUUAAUGUGGCUCCUAUAUCCUGACCAUUGUCAAGAUUUAAUGUGGCUCCUAUUUCCUGACCAUUGUCCAUCUAUGACGAGAAGUCAAGGCAGGAACUCAGACGAGGCAUGAUCCUGUAGUCAGGGAGUGAAAGAGAGCUGGCAGAGUGGCAGAGGAGAGCUGCUGACUGGCAUGCUGACCUGACUUUCCUGCUCAGAUAAUGAUGCCUUCUAAUGGCACAUCUCCAGAUGGGACACCAUGCUCCCAUAGUAGUCAUUGAUGAAGAAACUCCCUAUAUAACAUCCUAUAGGAUAUUAAUACAGGAGUUAACUCAGUAACAUUUUCCUCCAUUCAGAUUUCUUGUGCUAUUGAUGUUGACCAGUUGACUAUCGCACAUGAGCACCAUACAAAUAAAAAGUGCAGUGCUACGGUCAAGUGAAAUGUCAUCAGAGACAGAAAAUGACCUAGAAUGUCUAAGCAUUAGAUGCAGCUGGCUGUUCCUCUUAUCUUGCUGUUUCAAGAUCUAUUUGAAGCAGAAGGGAGGGCCUGCAGGUGUGGAGGACUGCAGGCUGGAAUUCAGUGUUCACUAGGUGGAGGGGAUCUGUCUGUCACAGUUCUGAGAAGAAGCUUAUGGCUCUGACCUUCCCACUCUAGAGAGCCAUAAUCAGAGACAGGUCCUGACUGGAACUCACUCCUGUCAGUGAAAUGGUCACUAACCAGCCUUUUGGUGGGCAUGGAGAAAAAGAAUUGCUCAGAAAACGUCCACCAUAAUGUUCUGCCCCGGAUAUUUAUAGCCGGAAGACUGCUCCACUACAGAGAGUACUCCUACCAAGACUAGCUAAACCUGUCUGCUUGAUACAGACGCGGCCCAUAAACCAUGCCACCUUGAUCUGUGUACAAUAGCCCAGUCCUUGUUCAGCUGAAUGCAGUCACCCUGCCUCUCUUCAACUCUAUACUGAACACACUGAGCUUCCAGGGUGCUGAGGUUUCUCCAGCAGUGAGUCUGGACCACAUUAUCACAGCUUUCUGUCCAUGUGCCCAUCUGUCUGUCUUCCGUCCUUCACCAUUCUUGUCAAGUCUAAGUCCCCAAACCAUGCAAGGACUUGGCAGUGAGCAAUGCAAAGGAGACAGACAGAGCACAACAGAAAAUAUAUGUGCACCAAGGUUUCUCCAGAGAGACGGUCUAUGUUGGCAAUAAGUAAGAAAGCCCGGCUAUUUUUCUGGGAAAUAUCACAGAGAUUCCUGUUAAAUGUCCACAAGACUGGUCGUGUUAAAUACCGAGAAAGAUGCAGGGCAGAAUCAGUCUGAGCCCCAGCUGCCUGUGUUAUGACAAAUCAAACAAAGCAAGGUGAUGGGAGAGGCACACGCAAUGGCUGCCUGGACUUGUCAAUGGAUGUGAUUUCAGAAACUGCUCGCUGAUUCAGAGGCAAGAGGGAAGACUCUGCGAGACUGUCAGAGUCCGAGGGGCGAAAGACUCUCCCGUGGCCAGCUGGCUCAUGUACCACGUUCGCUACGUCCAGACUGAAAUCUCAUCUCAGACUAGAAGGCACAAAUGAGUCAUGUGAGUCAUUUCCGGGGCUUGAUAUCCUGAACUGGGUGACAAAAAGACCAGCCACUCUUUCCCUGGCCCAAGGCCCCAUUAUCCACCUGAUUUAUUGCAAGGAUCAUAGCCUGGGCUGGAUAAAAAGGCAUCCGUGUUCAAGAAAGCAAAUAACCAG
ensembl:lncRNA